CAGGGUCAGACAAAGAAAGAAAAAAACAAUGACAGAGCUCAAGAAGAAGCUUUGAGAAAAAGUCUUGGAAUACAACAUCCUGGUGGAAGGAGAUCAAAUUGACGAGGAGUUGGCUUGCAGUCUCACAGAGGGCUAUGUCCUUCCAUUGGAGAGACAUGAAGAUGGCUGAAGAGGUCUGUCUUUGACCAGGUCAUGCUGGUCAGACGCUUGGAGGAGGAGCAGAUCAUCCUUGUGUGUCUCAACACAUCAAGUACCUUCUUAGGGACAUGCAAGAACUUGAGGAAGUCAAAGAACAGACUUUGGAGAGCAUCAAAACCAGCAAUUUCAUUGACCUGACAGAGGAUGCUUCACAUGGGCUCAUCAGUGUCCUCAAUCGCAGGCUGCACUUACUCAGAUGUCAACACAAAAAAGCAGUGCAUGCAUACAGCAGUGUAGCUGCUGUGGACUCUGAUUUACUCUCCAUACCAGAGGACAGUGAGCAGUGGUAUA